rnacentral:rRNA from 1 species
GCCUAAUACAUGCAAGUCGAACGCAGUAGCAAUACUGAGUGGCAGACGGGUGAGUAUAAUGUGGGAAUAUGCCUUUUGGUUUGGAAUAACACGGGGAAACUUGUGCUAAUACCAAAUAAGCCCUUACGGGGAAAGUUUUAAUGCCGAAAGAUGAGCCCGCACUUGAUUAGCUAGUUGGUAAGGUAAAAGCUUACCAAGGCAACGAUCAAUAGCUGUUCUUAGAGGAAGACCAGCCACAUUGGGACUGAGACACGGCCCAGACUCCUACGGGAGGCAGCAGUGGGGAAUCUUGCACAAUGGGGGAAACCCUGAUGCAGCGAUGCCGCGUGAGUGAAGAAGGCCCUUGGGUUGUAAAACUCUUUCGUCGGGGAAGAAAAUGACUGUACCCGAAUAAGAAGGUCCGGCUAA